AGCAGCCGCGGUAAUUCCAGCUCCAAUAGCGUAUAUUAAAGUUGUUGCAGUUAAAAAGCUCGUAGUUGAAUUUCGGGAUCAAUGCGUCGGUCGUGCCUUGGGUACGUACUAGCGUCAUUGAUUCCUCCCUUCCGAAGAACCGUGAUGUCAUUAAUUUGGUGUUACGGGGAAUCAGGACUGUUACCUUGAAAAAUUAGAGUGUUUAAAGCAGGCUAACGCUUGAAUACAUUAGCAUGGAAUAAUGAAAUAGGACAUUCGAACCUAUUUUGUUGGUUUCUAGGAUCGACGUAAUGAUUAAUAGGGAUAGUUGGGGGCAUUAGUAAUCAAUUGUCAGAGGUGAAAUUCUUGGAUUUUAUUGAAGACUAACUACUGACGAAAAAGGNUGUUUUACAUUAAAUCAAAGAACGAAAGUUAGGGGAUCGAAGACGAUCAGAUACCGUGUAGUCUUAACCAUAAACUAUGCCGACUAGGGAUCGGAUGAUGUUAAUUUUAUAAUGACUCUA
rnacentral:rRNA from 1 species